AACGAACGCUGGCGGCAUGCCUAACACAUGCAAGUCGAACGAGACCUUCGGGUCUAGUGGCGCACGGGUGCGUAACGCGUGGGAACCUGCCCUUAGGUUCGGAAUAACUCCCCGAAAGGGGUGCUAAUACCGGAUAAUGUCUUCGGACCAAAGAUUUAUCGCCUUUGGAUGGGCCCGCGUUGGAUUAGCUAGUUGGUAGGGUAAAAGCCUACCAAGGCGACGAUCCAUAGCUGGUCUGAGAGGAUGAUCAGCCACACUGGGACUGAGACACGGCCCAGACUCCUACGGGAGGCAGCAGUGGGGAAUAUUGGACAGUGGGCGAAAGCCUGAUCCAGCAAUGCCGCGUGAGUGCUGAAGGCCUUAGGGUUGUAAAGCUCUUUUACCCGGGAUGAUAAUGACAGUACCGGGAGAAUAAGCUCCGGCUAACUCCGUG
rnacentral:rRNA from 1 species